rnacentral:rRNA from 1 species
UACGUAGGUGGCAAGCGUUGUCCGGAUUUACUGGGCGUAAAGGAUGCGUAGGCGGACAUUUAAGUCAGAUGUGAAAUACCCGAGCUUAACUUGGGUGCUGCAUUUGAAACUGGGUGUCUAGAGUGCAGGAGAGGUAAGUGGAAUUCCUAGUGUAGCGGUGAAAUGCGUAGAGAUUAGGAGAACACCAGUGGCGAAGGCGACUUACUGGACUGUAACUGACGCUGAGGCAUGAAAGCGUGGGGAGCAAACAGG